GGUGAGGUGACCGAGCGGUUUAUGGUUCUCGUCUUGAAAACGAGCGUGGGUGAUGAGCCCACCGUGGGUUCGAAUCCUACCCUCACCGCCC
rnacentral:tRNA from 1 species